rnacentral:misc_RNA from 1 species
GUGGAUUCUUAAGUGCUAGAGCGUCCUUUACGCAUUCAAAAGGACGCGUGGCGCUCUAGUGGAAGGGUCAGCAGAUCCGGUGCGAUUCCGGAGCCGACGGUUACAGUCCGGAUGGAAGAGAACGGCC